rnacentral:rRNA from 1 species
AUGAACGCUGGCGGCGUGCCUAAUACAUGCAAGUCGAGCGAACAGACGAGGAGCUUGCUCCUCUGACGUUAGCGGCGGACGGGUGAGUAACACGUGGAUAACCUACCUAUAAGACUGGGAUAACUUCGGGACACCGGAGCUAAUACCGGAUAAUAUAUUGAACCGCAUGGUUCAAUAGUGAAAGACGGUUUUGCUGUCACUUAUAGAUGGAUCCGCGCCGCAUUAGCUAGUUGGUAAGGUAACGGCUUACCAAGGCAACGAUGCGUAGCCGACCUGAGAGGGUGAUCGGCCACACUGGAACUGAGACACGGUCCAGACUCCUACGGGAGGCAGCAGUAGGGAAUCUUCCGCAAUGGGCGAAAGCUUGACGGAGCAACGCCGCGUGAGUGAUGAAGGUCUUCGGAUCGUAAAACUCUGUUAUUAGGGAAGAACAAAUGUGUAAGUAACUAUGCACGUCUUGACGGUACCUAAUCAGAAAGCCACGGCUAACUACGUG